AUCCAGAUGACGAGUGCCAAAUAGGACUAAACACGCGGCCUGGAU
rfam:Schistosoma rodhaini strain Burundi genome assembly, scaffold: SROB_scaffold0003754